rnacentral:tRNA from 1 species
GUGGGCAUGGCUCAGUGGUAGAGUGCAUGCUUAGCAUGCAGGAGGUACUGGGUUUAAUCCCCAAUAUCUCCA